UACGGAGGGUGCAAGCGUUAUCCGGAUUCACUGGGUUUAAAGGGUGCGUAGGUGGGUCUGUAAGUCAGUGGUGAAAUCUCCGAGCUUAACUCGGAAACUGCCAUUGAUACUAUAGAUCUUGAAUUUUCUGGAGGUAAGCGGAAUAUGUCAUGUAGCGGUGAAAUGCUUAGAUAUGACAUAGAACACCAAUUGCGAAAGGCAGCUUACUACAGGAACAUUGACACUGAGGCACGAAAGCGUGGGGAUCAAACAGG
rnacentral:rRNA from 1 species